AAUUUUUAAAUGUUUUAUUAAGGCAAAAAAAAAAGUAAAGACCUCAGCCAGUGUUAUACUCUAUAAAUUGGCCUUGAAAGACAUACAAAACAAUGGACUGAUCAAGUAUUUCUUAUUUACAGUUAAGAGAAAAUAUCUUCCAGUGGCACAAAUCCUCUAAAGACCUGGAAAGAUCACUUAUUCCCUGAUUUAUGCAUUUGAGAAACCCUUUCAAAGCCUGCAUGAACUCAGUCAAGACAUGAUCUAGUGUGAGGGGGUUGGAACUAGAUGAUCUUAGGGUUCUUUCCAACCCAAACCAUUCUAUGAUUCUAUGAUGUAAGAGAGGAGAGAGCAGGUCACAGUGUAGGGAGAUAGAGGCUAAAAACAAUUGCUCUUUCCCACACAGGAGCUGCAAUUCAGUAUAAAGUGCAGAUAUUCCAGAAUAUUUUUUAACUCUUUUUUUUUUUUUCUGUUUUAUGAUCUUAAGAUAAUUUUGCACAGUAUGUUUAUACAUUUGCAAUAAUGAAAGAACAGCUUUUAAAGGAAUGAAUCUGAUUGUAACAAAUAAGCAUCUGAGAAGAUGUCAUUAGUGUCUCUCCAGAUCUGUAUUCAAAUUUGAGUAUUUGACUACUUUGGAUUGCUCUGUGUAGACAGCACUCCAUUUUGGUUACCAGUGUAACUAUUAGCAGUCAUUUAUCACAGGUGUCAGUGUACAGCAACAAAAAACAAAUCCCAGCAUCUGCAACAGGACAAUGUACGCAUAGAGGGACAGAGGCUAUUUAGCUGAGCUGAUAAGAUACAGUAACCAUAUACAAGAUGACUGUAAUUACUGUGCUUUAAAUUCUGUUGCAUAUUUCAAACUAUUACUUUGUGACUCCCAGGCCUAGAAUUUUUUCCCAUAUGCCUUUGUGCUUUUUUUUUUGCUCUGUUUCUUUAAUAAGAAAAAAGCAUGAAAAUAGAGACUUGCAAUGUAACAAGAAUUUCAGGCACCAGUGCAGAGUCUCAUUAAAUUUAGUAGUGUUAUGCUGAAAGCACUACCAAGGAUAAGCUAAACUCAGUGUUUAACUAAUCUAACGAACAAAAAAUAAAAAAAAAAAAAAAAAA
rnacentral:lncRNA from 1 species